UGGCGAUUUUGCACAUUAAUAGAAGGGUUUCACAUUGAACCAAGUGUACCUUUAAUUAGAAAUAUCAAUAGUAAGGUUGAUAAAUCACAAUCACUACAAUAAAUGGACCAGAAUGUUGAAAGGAGAGGGAAAAAAGAAACUGAAUUAUCUGGUCCUCUUCAUCAUCAUCAUCCAGUUUCCAGUAGAUACGUGGUUUGACAGUGAAAUAAACACGCUACUAAAUUGACUCAAUGGACAUUAGGAUGGACUUACAAUACAACUUGUUAAUGUUUUCUUGUCCCUUUCAUCUCACACCACUUUACCUCUUCACUCACCCACCCACAAUUGAAUAAUAUUAAAUAUAUUAUCUUUUU